GACAAGCAGACAUGGGGCAGAGUGAAUAACCAAGAAUGCGACAGAGCUAAACAGAACCAGUAAAAGAACAAGGGAAUACACAAGACUAAACAGGGAACACAAGACCAGGAGUAAACACAAAAGAUAUUAACUAACGUACAGGACUAGGAACUAACUGAAACACAGAACCUAAAACAGACUUCAACAGGAAAGACAUGAACACAAAAACCACACUCCUAACAAAAUCAAUGCAAAGAGAUGGAGGAUGUUCAGUUGUACCUGUUAUCUCCUCUCCACUAAGUCUGAAACUUGGGGAAAAGGCAGAGAAGACUGCAAAGGCCGUGGAGCAGAUCUGGUGGUGAUAGACAGUUAUGAAGAACAGGUACUGGUCCCCACGCCAGACUGAUAAUGGUGAUGGAGAUCCUCAGUGGGGUGAAGAGGACUGUGCACAUAUCCGGGCUGACACAAAAACUGGAGGAAACUGGAAUGAUCGGCGGUGUGAUGACUCUCUGAAAUGGAUCUGUGAAAAAAUAGCUUAGAAUUUAAUGAGUUUUGAUAUGAUAUGAUUUCACAAUUAUACAAAAGACCUUUCGUAAUAUAAUUGUUUGGAUUUCACGCCAGGAAUUGCGAUCUCAGCAUGAUUUGUUGCCUAAAUGUACUAUACCUUUUACUGAGGAAAUGAAGCUGUCUUGUCCUGAUGACUACCAUAUUUAGUGAAACAAAUCUCCCUAAAAUUUACCAGAGCAGUUGUAGCUAACAUCCUACUGAAUAUGUACUAUACCACAGUUUGACCCUGAAAUGUAGGCCUACUUAGUAGGAUAAUAAAUCUGACUUGAGCUGUUUCCUCCAA